GAUGAAGAACGUAGCGAAAUGCGAUAAGUAAUGUGAAUUGCAGAAUUCAGUGAAUCAUCGAAUCUUUGAACGCACCUUGCGCUCGUCGGUAUUCCGACGAGCAUGCCUGUUUGAGUCUCAUGAAUCUCUCAAACCUCGAAAGUUUGCGCUUUCGAUGGCUUUGGACUUGGAGGUCUAUGCCGGCACGAGUCGGCUCCUCUCUAAAUGCAUUAGCUCGGAUCAUACGUGUCGAUCUGCGGUGUGAUAAACGUCUACGUCGCGGCAUUUGACACCUCGCUUUUUUGCGAGCUGGUCUGGCUUCUAAUCGCCUUCGGGCAACACAUCUGACAUCUGAGCUCAAAUCAGGUAGGACUACCCGCUGAACUUAAGCAUAUCAAUAAGCGGAGGA
rnacentral:misc_RNA from 1 species